AUUACAUUAUUUCGUUUUUAAUAGGUGAAGUAUAACUAGCACUUCCUUUGAUGCUACGGAAAGAAGCUGAAGGUCAGAAAUAUCCCUGGCAUCACCAGUAUAGAUCAUCUGCUAGUGGAGACCAGACAGAUGGGCUAAAUAAGCAGCUUUUUACUGUGCUGCAGGUGGCUGAUGGUGGAGCAGCAAGAGGCAGUCUCAAUCCCUCUUCAGACCCCUCCACCACCACCCCAUGACUGCCUCCUCCCUACUCCAACACAAAGUCUUUAGACCUGUAAAAUGCCCCAAAUUCCUAUUCCAAAUCAAGCUAAAAUAAUGUAUCAUAGCCAUGAAGUUAUCCAGUUCAUAAUAAUUAAUAAUUACAAGAAACUUGUAUUUAUUUAGCACCUUUCAUACAAUACAUUGCAGCCUAAAGUGCACUGGUUCGUGCAAAGAUUGUUUCAUGUUAUUUCAAUGAUUGUUUAUUUUGUUUUACAGCACCAUUUCUAAGAUAUUUGCUGAGCACAGAAUCAAAUUUAGAAUCAUAUUAUUUUAUUUUUGUAUUUUUUUUUAUAUUAAAAGGAAGUCAGGUAUUCAAUCAUACACAUGCAGUCAGUCAGUCAGUCAGUCAGUAAAUCAGACAGUCAGUCAGUCAGUCAGUCAGUCAGUCAGUCAGUAAAUCAGACAGACAGUCAGUCAGUCAGUAAAUCAGACAGUCAGUCAGUCAGUAAAUCAGACAAAUGAAAUGAGCAGCAUUUAAUUUUCUAGCUCCUCUCGGCGUGGGAAUAUACAACCACAGCUCAGCAUGUCAAAAGAUGUCAAGUGUUACAGUUCCCUUCCUGCUGCAAGGAGAGGAAAAAUCCCCCUAGAAAUGAAUUAAAGUGAAAGGCAAGUCUCUAAACCCUUUCCUAAAAUGAUUAACCCGUCCACCAGGACAUUGUGGAUCAGCUCUGAGUACUCACUGCUUUCUUAUUGCUGUUAAUUGUUCUUUUUCUGUUGUUGCCUUCCUUCAUUAGUGUCCCCUCAUUAUAUGAAAAGAGGGGAAAAUGUCGACCUGAAUAGGGGAAGGAGAUUUUCCCACAGUCCCUCAACACAGAGAAAUACACCAUUGUGGGCCAGGCCAGGCAGGUUCCCAUCCCUUGUGUGUGAGAACACACACACACACACACACACACACACACACAUAUAUAUACACACUUGAAUGACAAGUCUUUCACUUUGUCUAAAUUGUAAAAUGGUGAAUAAUAUAGUCUGGGUAACAGGGUAAGUACCCCCAGUCAUUCACUUUAUGUCAAACUGAUGGAUCGUUCACUCAGGUAACACUGCAGUGUUUAAUUGGUAUUUUAUAUCAUACCACCUGUGUCCCAAAUGACACCCUAUUCCCUAAAUAGUGCAAUGCUUGUGAAUACUUUUAGCCCAUAGGGUUCUAUAAUACACUCGGAAAAUUGAGUGUCAUUUGUAUUUGCCUUGGAACAGUUAAAUGCACAAAUACAACUCAUUUCAAUAAUAAGAAAUACUGCAAUAUGUCAGCAUAAUAUCAUUUCUUUGGAUUAGCGAUGAAUGAACCCGUUUGGGGAAUUGUCUGGGCAAAACACUAUGUAACCUCUUGUGAUUAAAAAAAACUAAAAAAAACAGCAGCAUUAACCAUGUUGUAAUAUAUCGUGACAGCUAACGUAACCUGUUAAUUAUACGGUCAUAACACUGUCCUGACACAUAUUUAAUACCUAUUGUGACAUAUAUUGUGUUAUUUUAUGACUGGUUAUGACACCUACAUAAGAGUGUCAAAACCUACCACGGUAUUUAUAUUAUGUCUGGUUAUGACACCUACAUUAGAUUGUAGAAACCCACAAAACCUACCACACAAGGCAAAAUAUUCCAUUACACCAU
rnacentral:lncRNA from 1 species